ensembl:antisense Gm12530 predicted gene 12530
CUGUCUGCGGCUGAACAGCCACAUACUGAGGUCAGUUCACAGUUCCCAACAUUCAUUUACCACUGUGAUAUGUAAAACCUUCUUGCCUUGGAACUAGAAGAUUCUGGAUUCAAGAUAAAGCUGUGUCCUCAGCGAGCAAGGCCAGUGCAUUUCACUACGACUCUGGACAGAAGGAACCAGUUUGACUUAAGAUAGAUAGAACCAGCAAUCAUAGAGAUUCCAAGGGUUUGGAGGACAGCGUCUUCUAAGUACCCAGGUUCGAUCCUCCUGCCUCAGCCUCAGGAGAGUUGUAUUUCUGGCUGAACCUGUGAAGACGUUUUCCACUGUGAUGGUCACCAUACUCUGCCACCUCUCUAAUCUUAAGUCCCUGAGUGUAUCUGGUUGUCCUUUCCUGUCAGGAUUGCUUGUCAGGUCAAGCUCUGCACCUUGUUCAUAUGGAGCAACAGGCCCUGCUUAGCCUCAUCUUGCUUCAUAUCCACCCAACAACUGCUUUGCUAAGGUUUGGAUGAGCGUCCCCCAGAGCUUCAUACACAGAAAUUUAAUCCUCUUGGGAGGCACGCAAGCUGGCACUGAUUCUAACUGCACUGCUUAGAGCCGGGGACUUUGAAAAGUGAUAGUCACGAGGACUGGGAGUCAGAGCUAGAGAAGCACUGGAGUGAGCUGUUCUCCCUCCCUUUUCUGUUUGACUUCUUUGAGACUGCUUCCUGUCAAGUCCAGCUUGCGUGUGUGACCUCUGGCCCUGCUGAUGCAGCCUAUAUGAAGACUCAAGACAACCGAAAGCUUUCAGGACCCAGUGACCAUAGCUUCCGGGCCCAGCCUCCUAGUGUGUCCUUCACUUCUCCACACCCACUCAUUACAGCCAAGGGCCUUCCAAAUCCUUCUGCCCAGGAGGCACAAGACAGCCACAUACCCCAUAGGCCUGUUUCCGUCUGCGUUAAUGUUCUCACAAGAGUCUUCUCACUGCCUGAGACGAGGGCAGGGGCACUGCUGCUGUGCUGCUGCUCAACAUGGAAGCCACUGGGCUCCCGUGGCUGUUUAAAUUGAAUAACAUUUAAAUUUUUUAAAAAAUCUGUCAGUCAUGCUUCAUUUCAUGUGCUCAGUGACCAGGCACAGCUAGAAGCUACUACCUUAGAAAGAGUGGGUAGGGGACAUGUACAUCCAUCAUGGUGGGAGUACUUGAUACCAAGUACUAAACGGAGGGGAGUCUACCAUACAUCUUAUAUUGAGUCCUCUUUCUCUUGCUCCCUCCGUCCCCUGCUCUCUUCAUCCUUUCUUCCCUUUCUUUCAUCUCAUAAAGGCACCAGGAAUCAAUCACGUGAGUGCCACGCUAAAGGCCUAAGGCUCACCUGUCACUUUCCAAAGCCCCCGACUCUAAGCACUGCAGUUGGAACAGAGCCAGCUCCAGUGCCUCACAAGGGGAUUGCACGUCUGUAAAGUUCCGUCUUUCUCUUCGGUUAGCCACCGGAGCCACAGCAGCGUGGUGUGCGUGAUCCUGUGUUCAACAAACACGAGCAGAGUGGCUGACAUAUCCAUCUCCAUCAGGAGGAGAAGAGAAGGAAGCCCUGAGAGUGAGUUACUUCCACGGGUGUACCAACAAAUUUCAAGAAUUCCAAACACAGACCAUACCCAGCCCCUUCCCUGGCUGUCAUCAUGUGUCACCGACCUCUGAUGGAAAGAGAGAGUCCUCAUCAAAACGACUUCAUGACUCUCUCCCUCGAGAUAAAAGGAAUAGGAAGAGUUAAAAAUAAUGAAAAAUUAAAUG